rnacentral:rRNA from 1 species
CCCUUAGAUGUUCUGGGCCGCACGCGCGCUACACUGAUGCAUUCAACGAGUUUCUUCCUGGUCCGAGAGGAAUGGGUAACCUUUUGAAAGUGCAUCGUGAUAGGGAUAGACUAUUGCAAUUAUUGGUCUUCAACGAGGAAUUCCUAGUAGACGUAGUUCAUCAGACUGCAUCGAUUACGUCCCUGCCCUUUGUACACACCGCCCGUCGCUCCUACCGAUUGAAUGUUCAGGUGAGCCAUUCGGACUUUCAUCAUGCUGGUUUCCAGUUUUGAUGAAGGAAAGUCUUGCGAACCUUAUCAUUUAGAGGAAGGAGAAGUCGUAACA